rnacentral:rRNA from 1 species
UACGAAGGUGGCAAGCGUUGUUCGGAUUUACUGGGCGUACAGGGAGCGUAGGCGGUUGGAUAAGCCCUCCGUGAAAUCUCCAGGCUUAACCUGGAAAGUGCAGAGGGGACUGUUCAGCUAGAGGAUGGGAGAGGAGCGCGGAAUUCCCGGUGUAGCGGUGAAAUGCGUAGAGAUCGGGAGGAAGGCCGGUGGCGAAGGCGGCCAUCUGGAUCAACACUGACGCUGAGGCACGAAAGCGUGGGGAGCAAACAGG